rnacentral:rRNA from 1 species
AUGAACGCUAGCGACAGGCCUAACACAUGCAAGUCGAGGGGCAGCACAUGAGUAGCAAUACGAUGGUGGCGACCGGCGCACGGGUGAGUAACACGUAUGCAACCUGCCUUCUACUAUGGGAUAACCCGUUGAAAGACGGACUAAUACCGUAUAAUACAGGGGCUCCGCAUGGAGAUAUUUGUUAAAGAUUUAUUGGUAGAAGAUGGGCAUGCGUAUGAUUAGAUAGUUGGUGAGGUAACGGCUCACCAAGUCAACGAUCAUUAGGGGUUCUGAGAGGAAGGUCCCCCACACUGGUACUGAGACACGGACCAGACUCCUACGGGAGGCAGCAGUGAGGAAUAUUGGUCAAUGGACGAGAGUCUGAACCAGCCAAGUCGCGUGAAGGAAGACGGUUCUAUGAAUUGUAAACUUCUUUUGUGCAGGAAUAAAGUGGGUUACGUGUAACCUUUUGUAUGUACUGUACGAAUAAGGAUCGGCUAACUCCGUG